rnacentral:tRNA from 1 species
GCCCGCAUAGCUCAGUCGGUAGAGCGUUAGGCUUUUAACCUAACGGUCCAGGGUUCGAGCCCCUGACGGCU